rnacentral:lncRNA from 1 species
AAGAGCAUUGGUAAGAGCAAUUGUUGGGUUGCCAGAACGCGUGGUGUGUAUGUAAGUCUAAAGGGCUCUCAGAAACACAUGAGCAUAUUGCAACAGCUUAAUUAGGUUCCUUCUUGUUGGCUUUGACAACUAGACUAGCAUUCCCCACUCUCACCAAGCGAUGACACUGUUUUGGUGAUUUCAGAUCCUGAAGCGCACAAGGAGGAGGUCACCAGGUUCAAAUCCCUUCGGAUCUACAUCGACUGCAAGCCAGGUGCGUUCCCCUUAAUUUGGUUCUGUUCUGAGUUCUCAUUCAUAUAUCCUAGGUAGUUAGGUCGAUGCAAAACUAAGCAGUUCUCCAUGCCAUUACAAGCCAGGUAUGGUUGCUGUUCUCUGGUUUUGACGGGCCAACUCAAGUUGAAGAUCAAAUCCGUCAUCAACAAGUAGCCAGCACACUCCCAGUCAUACCCAAUUACCCAUGGCUCCAUGAGGGUUCAGGAUCUCCACUGUUAAGCUGCAAUUACAACAAGGCCAGCCAAGCCAUGAGGUCUCUUUAUUUCGAGAUUCUUGUGAUGGUUUCAGAUUCAGAAGUGCACACCGUGGUCUAAGCUAUUACAAGCCAGGUGUGUGGACCUUCUCUAAUUUUCUUGCUAUCUUAGGUUGUACCCACAAGAGCACGCAUUGACUUGACUUGUAGGUUCACUGGCUGGUUCUUGAGAUGAUUCCAACAAGCAGACUAGCUUGCAUUCCCUACUCUCACCACGCCAUGACAUGCUGUUUUGAUGAUUUCAGAUACUGAAGCUCACGAGGAAGUCACUAUAGGCCCAUAUCUAGCAGGAUCUACAUCGAUUACAAGCCAGGUUCGCUGCCCUCAGUUUGGUCUGUUCCUGGUGAGGAUCCAUCAGAUUAUUCGGAUGGUUUCAGAUUCAGAAACGCACAAGGAGGUCACCAACAUCAGUCAGAUCUAAGCCAUUUCGAGGCAGGUGUGUUCUCCUUCCCAAUUUUCUGGCUAUCUCAGGUUGUAGUAAGAAUAAUAUAUCUCCCUUGAUGCAAACAGAAAAAACUCCUGAUGUAUCUUUUCAAGUUAGCAAGCCUAGUAUACUUUGUGACUUAAUGCAUUGCCAUUUCUUCCAGCUUCCUAAGCACAAUAAAAAUUUCUCCUGGAAGGCCAAUCUUCUUAAUUUGUGACAACACCAAGGCCUAGCGAGCGUGAAGGUAUGUUCAGGUUUUAGUUGCCAUCCAUCAUUUCCCCUGGAUUCACAAAUAAUCUGGAAUUAAUAUGUAUUUUUUUUUCCAACCGGGCUCACACCCCUUUCCAUUAAUUUUGCAAUCAACGGAAAUACAUCAGUCUGAGAUUCCAACAUUUUUGCUCAAAGUACCAGAAUGAUAACUCGAACUAAAUGGGACUAACCCGAAGGCUACAACUAACUGCAAAAGCAUAAUGAGCCUGAAAGGGGGAGGAGCGAGCUGGUGCAUCAUCAGGAAACCCACCGCGUGAUGAUCCUCGAGCGGACCAUCUGCCAUGGGGCAAAAACCUGAUGACACAGGCAAGCCAAAACCCAACUAAGGAUAACCUAUUUUUCCAGAGAAGCAACUAUCAGUAAGUCUCCACGCCUAGCCAGAUAAGACCAAGAGAUAGAAGUCCAGCGGGCAUCAAACCCCAGUGGAUGAUAUUACCAAACAAGGGAACUCAAAGCAUCGAACUCCAGCUAACCAAUCUGGAUUCCAUCCCUGUCGCCCAACCGGAGCCUGUCUCGAGGAAAGGGCCUGUCCGCCAGCACAGCAGCCGCGUGCGCCAAUCUCUUCACGCCAUCCUGAAGCUUCACCUUGUCUUCUGCCUUGAGCAAACCUGCCCAAUAUAACAUAAACGAGCAGGCAGUGAAAACAGCCUCGAGGGGAGUACGAGCUACAUAAUUGUCAAAGGUAACUUUAUUGCGGAGACCCCAAAUCCCCCAACAGAUAGCAGCAAUGAUCAUCAUAUAAAAUUGAUCCCCUCCUGGGAAAAACCUAUAAAACCAUGCAAAGCUUUGCCAAAGAGAUCGGGGGCAACAAGAAACCCCUACAGUCAUCCCCAGCGUGCCCCAAACUGUGCGGGCGAGUGGGCAGGUAAAAAAUAGGUGGUUUGCGGUCUCUAUGUCUGUGCAAAAAGAACAUAUAGGAUUCCCAGGCCAUUUUCGGGUGCGCAUAUUGUCUCUUGUUAGCACCGCAUUCUGGAACAACUGCCAUAGAAAGAUUUUGAUCUUCAAUGGAACUGGGGCUUUCCAAAUCCACUUAUAAUUAGGACCAGCCAGGUUUCUUUCCAACCAACCAUACAUUGACUUUGUCGUAAAUUUCCCUUUACUGUUUAAAGCCCAUGAAACAUUAUCUGGGUCAUUAUUCAAUGGGAGUUUUUUCACCUCAUCAACCAUCCAAGUCCAUUGCUCUCCCAACACACUUGACACUCGUCGUCUAAAAUCUAGAGUAUAACCCUUCUUCACCCAGGACUCAAGGGUACUCUCCUGAUCAUGGCAGAUGUUAAACAGAUCAGGGAAUCGAUCUUUCAGAACGGUAUUUUCUGUCCAUGGAUCAUGCCAGACCCUAGCCAGGUUACCACUAUUGAUGAUGAUUUUCCUACCAGCCAUAUAUGAGUCUUUGACCUUCAUGAUAGCUUUCCAGCAAGGGGAAUCAGAUACACGACUCCGCACAUUGGCUACUGUUUUGUUAUUAAAGUAUCUAGCUUUGACUAUACGCUGCCACAAGCCAUCGCUAGUUUCAAGUUUCCACCACCACUUGACAAGCAAAGCUACAUUCUGCUUAUGAAGAUCUUUAACACCCAACCCUCCAAUCUUCUUAGAUCGACAAACUCUCGCCCAUUUAACCAUAUGAUAACCAUGUUUCUUGUUCUUCCUCCUCCAGAAGAAUCGUCUACGGUGUUUAUCCAUCUUUUCAAUAAAGGUUUUAUUGAAAAGAAACAUUGACAUGAGGUAUGAUGGAAUCCCAUCAAGGCUGGAGCUUAGCAAAGUAAGUCUAGCCCCUGAAGAUGCCGCAUAUGCCACCCAGGCAUCCAGCUUUUUAAUCAGUUUACCAUCAAGGAAGUCCAGGUCCGCAUUCUUAAGGGCAGAGUAUGUUACUGGGACCCCAAGAUACUUCAUAGGUAAGAUGCCCACUUGACAACCAAACAUAUCAGAGUAUACUAAAUCAAUAUCAUUGUCUCCUCCGAUACUAAAGAUCUCACUUUUCUCGAAGUUGAUCUUCAAACCUGACAUAAGUUCAAAGAGAUAUAGUAAAAGCUUGACAUUGACAGCUUUGUCGAUAUCAUGCUCAAAGCAAAGCACCGUGUCAUCAGCGUAUUGCAGGAUACCCACCCCAUCCUCAAUAAGAUCAGCAGCUAACCCUUUAACCAGACCAUUUUUUUGAGCUGCCAAUACCAUCUUAGUCAAACACUCAGCUGCCAUAUUAAACAGAAAAGGGGAGUGAGGAUCUCCCUGCCUCACCCCCUUAGCACUUUGGAUGUAAGGCCCCACCUCGUCAUUAAUCUUGACACUUACUGUGCCAUUCCUCAAAAUUUGAGAAACCCACCCACACCAUUUGGAGUUAAACCCACGCUUCACAUGACAAUCAAGUAAAAAGUCCCAAUUAACUUUGUCAUAAGCUUUCUCAAAAUCAAGCUUAAGGACAAUCCCCACUUGUUUUUUGACAUGUGUAUAAUGCAAGAUCUCAUGCAAAGAUAAUAUGCCAUCAACUAUGUGUCUCCCUUUUAUGAAGGCAUUUUGUUGCAGGCUGAACAACUUAUGCGCAUAUAUGCUGGCUCUAAUUUCCAUGACUUUGGUGAGAAGCUUGUAGGGACAUCUUAACAGACAUAUAGGUCUAUACUGCUGAAUUCUGUUGGCCUUUGAUGACUUGGGUAACAGAGUUAUAAUGCCAUAAUUCAAUCUCUUUACAUCAAGUUUACCCUCAUAAAACCACUCAAACAAGCGCAUAAGAUCCCGGGAAAUUAUCUCCCAGCAAUGUUGAUAAAACUCAACAGGGAUGUCGUCCGGUCCAGGGGCACGGUUAGAUUUCAUGCUAAACAACGCCUUUUUUACCUCCUCUAGCGAGAAGGGUCGAGUCAAUUCUUUAUUGUCCUCGGGAGAGAUUUUUUCCCCCUGAGACCAUAAUGAUGCAUCAAUCUGACAGAUGUUGCCAGGAGCCGGUCCAAAGAGGGUCUUAUAGUAUUCAGUAGCAUGGGCUAAUAAAUUUUUGGUACCCUCUAUGGUUACAGAUCCACAUUCAAGAGAAAUCAUGGAAUUUUUCCUACGACGCCCAUUGGCUACUUUAUGGAAGAAAUCAGUGUUGUUGUCCCCCUUCAAAAGCCACCUCUCAUUAGAUAAUUGGUGCCAAUGAAUCUCCUCUUCUACAUACAUCUCGUUAAGUUCCACCAGGAUAUCAAGUUUUCUAGUGUAUGCUUCUCCACAUAAACCAACCUCCUCCUCCAUAAUUUCUAGUUCCUGAAGCUCAAGCUUAAUAAGCCUCUUUCUAAUUUUGUUAUGCCCAAACAAAUUAGACCCCCAUCCUUUAAAGAAUUUCUUGAACCUCUUCAGCUUAAUGUUCAAGGAGUCGAUGGGAUUAAUAGUAUAAACUGGCCUUGCCCAUAAUUCAGAUACCAGGGGAAGGAAAUCUGGAUUCUUAAGCCACGUAUUAUCAAAUCUAAAACACCUAUUCCUUGGUGCUCUAGAGGAGGCAUUCCCUCCAUCCAAAAGCAGGGGAUUAUGAUCAAAAAUCUCCUUGAUCAACUUAUUAACUGACACAAGGGGAUAAAGAUCUUCCCAAUCAGGGGACAUAAGGACUCUGUCUAAUUUUUCCAAAGUAGGGUUUUCUUGCUUAUUGGACCAGGUAUAAGCACCACCUGACAUAUGGAUCUCCCUCAUCCCAAGUAAGUGUAUGACAGAAUUGAACACAUCAGAGAAGUGAGAUACGGCUGUUUUUUUAUUUUUCUCCCCACUGUGUCUAAUGAUAUUAAAGUCCCCCCCCAACCAAAUAUGGCAUGCUAGUGUUAUGGCACAUAUUAGAUAGCUCUGCAAUGAAUUCAGGUUUAUAUUCAUCAUGAGCCGCACCAUAUACAAUCAUCAAUGACCAGCUACAGUUUUUGAUCUUAUCCAACAGAUCUAACUGCAGUAUAUAUUUACCACUCCUAGUUGCGAGUAUAUCAAAGUUAUCUUUACUAAUCCCACAAAGGAUCCCUCCAGAUUUUCCCCUGGAUGGGUUCCAUUCCCAAUGAAACCUCUGUCUCGGGUCAAGCUUCCUAAAAAAGGAUGCUUUAUAUGUCUCUUUCAUAGUCUCCUGUAACCCAAUAAAAUCAAUCCCAUUGGCAUCAAUCAUAUCAGUGAGACAGGUAGACAUGCCCUUCUUACCUGCCCCCCUGCAAUUCCAAAAGAUGCCCUUCAUUUAUAUCGUUCGGGUUUAUCCUUAAACCUGGUGGGUCUGCCAGGGUCCAUAGCAGCCCUACCCUCACCUUUUUUCUUUUGACUUCUCGUCAUAGGCCUAUCCGCUUUAUUAGGAGAUAUAUUCACUACUGAUCUUCUGCGGUAGUUCUUUUUUUUCUUUUGUCUGGACUGAACAAGGAUAAAAGGUUCCUCAUUAUCCUUAUUGUCAUCAUCCCAGGUUAACAAGAGAGGUACAUCAUUACCCAUCCCAUCAUUAAUAGUUAUUUUAGAGGGAUUCACAUCAUCAUUUUUAUCACGUAAUAGAUUUCUAGAAAGUUCAAGCUCACGAAGAGUAUCUACUACUGCAAAAUUAUCAUCUGGAAUUUGCACCCCCAUUAAUGAUGCACGCAGAAUAAUAGCUGAAUCAGAGAAAGCAGAGAACUGAUUUUUCGAGUUUGGUACUUUCAUACCUUCUGCGUCUCGCUUCCUCAUCCUGUUGGUGGCCACCUCCUCUAUUUUUUCCAGCUUCUGCAUCUGUCUCCGUGGUGCAUAUUCCUCACCCACCAUUAGGAAUAUGUAUGUAGUGUUGUUGAUGCACGUUACUGAGACAAACUUAGCUCAUGACCGGCAUCUACUCUUGCACUGAACUUACAAUAAUGUGAGAACUUUGGUCUCCUAAAGUCACCAUACUUCUUGUGUGAGGAUCGCCUAAAGUGAAUUGACGACUCCUUUUAUUUGAAGUCGUUUUAGUUACCACAAAAUUUAUUGGUUUCCCCUAAUUAAUGACCCCUAUGCAUCGCACCUUGUUUUCUCAUUCAUUUUCUUUUCUUUUUUGCGAGUGGUCUCAUUUAUUUUCUUGAUUGGGAUAAGUCUGUCUUGCAGCUUAAUCAACAGCUACCUAUUUGUUUCUCCACGCAUCUGGAGAUACUAUUAGAUAGAGGUUUAGAAAAAAUGUUGAACCAAGUAACCUGGAACUGUCACAUAGACGACUCUCUGAAAUUAGAAUAUUCAUAUUGGUGAGCCGGCUUUGCAAGUAGAUUGGUUCACCCUGUCUUAGUUGGUUAAAAUUUCAAUACUCUGUGCAUUUUAACUUGCUUUGCCCCUUAGGGAAGCAGUGGAUGCAUUGUCAGUUAUUUGGUCAAGUUCACUCGUUCUUGUCAGCUAAUAACAUGAAGCUUUCUUCCAUUGACUAUAGCACAGUGCCAAGUGUUUUAAAAUUCCCACAGACGUGCAUGUUGCAAGAAAGGUUUUGUUUGAUUAUGUGGGUUAGAGUUACAUAGGUUAACAGUAUGACAUAAUACUGUAGGAGGAUUACUUUGAAAGGUUCUUCUGACUUCACUUUUCUCUUGUGGUUGGAGAGUUUUAGCAAGUGCUUGCUACUAGCACAAUGCACUAACAGUUUGGUUUAAUUAAACAACUGUAGCUAUUUGCUCCAUACACCUGGAAUAUUAUUAGAUAGAUAUUGAAAAACUUACGUGUUACAGUCACAUUAGCCAGCUAUCUGAAAGUAGAAUAUUCAUAUCGGGUGAGCUAGCAUGUACUCCCUCCGUAAACUAAUAUAAGAGUGAUCUAAACGCUUUUAUAAUAGUUUACAGAGGGAGUAUAUCAUAUAUCUUUCCUCUUUGACUUGCUUGGUUCAAAUUCAAACAUUUGGGCCAUUUUAAGCUGAGUUGCCCCUGUACGGAAGAGCAUGUACGAUCGAUCAUUUGGUUCACUGUCACUUGUUGUGGUCAGUUAAUAACAUUAAGUUUGCUGCAGUGGACUAUUGCACAGUCCCAAGUGUUUUAAAUUUCGCAUUGACCUGCCUGUUCUAAGUACUUCUUUGCUUGAUUAUGCAGCUAUUUGCUUGAUUACCAUCAGGCCAUCAUACUGUAGUGGCCUCAGAUUCAGAAGUGCACACGGUGGUCUAAGCUAUUACGAGCCCCAG